CAGGGGCCGUCCUCGCUUGCACCACACCUGCCCUGCCCCUCUACGCCCUCUUCGUCAUCUCCAGCUCCCCUCCUCGCUGCUAAGGCGACACAGACCUUCCUCAUCCCAGCCACGCGUCGGUCCCGGGUCGUGGCAGUCAAAACCGUGCACUCAGUUUUUGGUGUCGGUCAACUAUCAGCAAAAAGUCGUC